rnacentral:rRNA from 1 species
AUUGAACGCUGGCGGCAUGCCUUACACAUGCAAGUCGAACGGCAGCACGGGAGCAAUCCUGGUGGCGAGUGGCGAACGGGUGAGUAAAGUAUCGGAACGUGCCCAGUCGUGGGGGAUAACGUAGCGAAAGUUACGCUAAUACCGCAUACGAUCUAUGGAUGAAAGCGGGGGAUCGAAAGACCUCGCGCGAUUGGAGCGGCCGAUAUCAGAUUAGGUAGUUGGUGGGGUAAAGGCUCACCAAGCCGACGAUCUGUAGCUGGUCUGAGAGGACGACCAGCCACACUGGGACUGAGACACGGCCCAGACUCCUACGGGAGGCAGCAGUGGGGAAUUUUGGACAAUGGGCGAAAGCCUGAUCCAGCCAUGCCGCGUGCAGGAUGAAGGCCUUCGGGUUGUAAACUGCUUUUGUACGGAACGAAGAGGUUUGGCCUAAUAAGCUGAGCUCAUGACGGUACCGUAAGAAUAAGCACCGGCUAACUACGUGCCAGCCGCCGCAGUAA